CAGUGUGAUGAAAACCAGGACCAGAAGAACCAGAUUGAACAGAGAAGGAUGUUGCAUAUGGUCGUCCAGUGGUGUCUGGAA
rnacentral:snoRNA from 1 species